rfam:Trichobilharzia regenti genome assembly, scaffold: TRE_scaffold0001294
GUACUUCCGAUGAAUCCCAAACUAGGAUGAAACAGCUGUCCAGUAC